GGGAGUAAUGGAGAUGAAGGUACUUCUACUAUUAUUUUGUAACGACCCGGUUUCUCUAAACCAUAUUUAGAAAUUUGUUUGGUUAAUUAUUCUCUAAACCAAACCAUUUGAAAUAAACCAAAGAGAUAUAUAAGUCGUAUACAUCUCCAUCUUUGACGAUCGAAACCUAGCCGCACACCUCCAAUUAAACCAUUGUUCACCUCCAAAAAUCUGAUGCACCGCGAUGCCACCACCGGCUCUUCCGGUUGUCUUGGAGCCAUCACGCCAUGUCAGAGAGAGAGCCUCGUCAUCACUGGUCAAACGUCUCACGUGUUGUUGUCUCGCAUCGAACUCGAGAGAUGUAUAUAUGACGUGAGGAGGAGGCACACAAAGACGGAGCCACCGUCUCACCACCGCCGCACCGAUCAGAUCCACACUGUUGUUAGUCGCAAGCCAUUGGAGGAGGCAGUCAUGUCACCGGAGAGUCGUGAUAGCCAGAGAUCGUACCAGCCACUGUCAUCAACCGUUAUCUAGCUAAGUGUUGCCUCCUUUGUCACUUGUGCCACAAGUAACGUAUAUACCACAAACCAUAAACGUGUCUUUGCAUGUGUUUAGGUGUAGUGAAUGUUAUGCCAACCUGGAGUUACUUGCCCAUCAUUUUAAAAUAAGGCGUACAAAGAUUUAUGGAACAAGUUUCGCUCGACACCAUGAUUAGGAAGGAAUCUUUUAAAGUGAUGUUAGGUGAGAUCGUUCCCGAGCUUUUGAUGAGCCAUAUCCAAUAUUUGCUAAGGUGAGACAGAUGAGUAUAUGAUAUUUGGACGGAUUUGGUGCUACUGAGCUUUUUAUUCGGAUUUUUAUUGGGCUUUGGGUGAGUGUAAUUGGGUAUAUGGGCUUUAUUAUACGAGAUAUUAUUGGUGGCCCGCUGUUCUCCGGAUUGAAGGUGACGGGUGUCACAUAUUUGUUCACUGUUCAAACACAAUUUAAAAACGUCUCUAAUCACUUUGAGAUGAAGGUUUUAUU